rnacentral:misc_RNA from 1 species
UUUCCGUAGGUGAACCUGCGGAAGGAUCAUUACCGAAUUGUCAAACGGGUUGUUGCUGGUCUUCAAACGGGGACAUGUGCACGCUCUGUUUACACAUCCACUCACACCUGUGCACCCUCCGUAGUUCUAUGGUCUGGGGGACCCCGUCUUCCUGCCGUGGUUCUACGUCUUUACACACACUCUGUAAUAAAGUCUUAUGGAAUGUAUGCCGCGUCUAACGCAAUACAAUACAACUUUCAGCAACGGAUCUCUUGGCUCUU